rnacentral:rRNA from 1 species
UACAGAGGUCCCGAGCGUUGUUCGGAUUCGAUUGGGCGUAAAGGGCGCGUAGGCGGCUUGACAAGUCCAAGGUGAAAUCCCUCGGCUCAACCGAGGAACUGCCUUGGAAACUGUCUGGCUUGAGGCCGGGAGAGGGUAGUGGAAUUCCCAGUGUAGCGGUGAAAUGCGUAGAUAUUGGGAGGAACACCAGUGGCGAAGGCGGCUCACUGGACCGGAACUGACGCUGAGGCGCGAAAGCGUGGGGAGCAAAGCAGG